CCACAGACUGAAGGCUGCAUUGUGAGGUUCUCUACUUUUGAGGUUUUCGGACUCGGACUGGCUUCCUUGCUCCUCAGCUUGCAGACGGCCUAUUGUGGGACCUCACCUUGUGACCGUACACCCAGUUUACCAGAUGAAGGGGAGGAAUUGAGUGCAGAUGAACUUCCAGAUCUCUUUGUACUAUGUGAAUGCUGCAUCUACAUCCUAAUUCAUAUGGCUGGAAAGCUCAGUUGCAACAGGAAUAUUUUGGACAGGUUAUCAGAAUGAAGAUGGACAAUAUUCAUUAGUCACAGGUCGGAGCACACUGAAA
rnacentral:lncRNA from 1 species